CUGGGCAACCUGUUCCAGCAUCUCACCACCCUCACAGUAAAGAAUUUCUUCCUAAUAUCCAAUUUAAUGCCAUUUCCUCUUGUCCUGUUGCUACAUGCCCUCAUAAAAAUUAUUCUCCGCCUUUAGUACCCUUCAAGUACUGGACAGCUGCUAUAAGGUCUUUUCAGAGCCUUUUCUUCUCCAGGCUGAAGAACCCCAACUCUCUCAACCUGUCCCAUAGGGGAGGUUCUCCAGCCCUCUGAUCAUCUUUGUGGCCCUCCUCUGGACCUGCUCCAAUAGCUGCUUGUCCUUCUUUUGUUAGGGGACCCAGUUCCUGAAAGAAAGUCAUGACUUGGCAGCUCCCAUACCAUGGAGCCAUGGGGUAGUGUGAUCUUGCCAAACGCAGGGCAGAUAGCAUCCUUUGGGGAGCUCAGUAACCCUGCCAAGCCUCUGCUCCCACCACCUCCAAAACAGAGGUGAAGUCAGGAACGCAAAGCUAAUUCCUAGCAGAGCUGGCAGAAAUUUAUCACUUUCUUUCUAAGAACAUGAAAUUCUGAAUGCUGUAUCUUGUGCUUUCUGCCAAGUCCAUCUUGUCUCUUUUACCCCAAGAAGAUGGCUUUGGGUAUUCAAUCCAGGCUGUAGCUGGGAAAAAACACAGAUCUAAGCUCUGCUUCUGCCAAAGUGACUCAGACUGGUACAAAAAGCAGUCACUGGCACCUAAGCUACGUCCCAGAAGUACCUCUCACAUACCUUUCUCAAACUUUGCACCUCGACCCAUCACAAUGAAAGUGCUGUUUUCUAUUUAUUUCUAUGCUAAGUAACACUUGCUAGAUGUGAUGAGUGAAACACGCUGAUCUUUGACAUGGAUAAUAGUUUUCCUUGUCCAAAGCUAACCAACCAGUCAGAAGCUUAUCAUACAAGAGGAUGUGCUGAUCCCAUAAUGCUGUGAGCUGUCACUACGUAUCCUGUAUUUACAGCCUUUACAACAGCCAAGUAGCAGAUCAUCAGCUGUCUUUAGUCCAACCUGUUUCUUUCAGUGACUUUUUCCUUUAGAUGUGUUUUAUCAAGCUAUCUACAACAAGCCUCUGUAUCGCAUAAUUUUAUUGUUUUAAGUACAGAUACACUACAAGAAGCUUAAAAACCAUACCUUACACAGGUUGUUGUGGAUUACAUAAAGAACUGGUAGUACAGAAGAUCUACACUAGCAAAUGGCUUUACUCACACUGCAUUUGCUGGGGCAAGAAGCACAGAACCAGAGCUAAAGGCAAUCACAACUUGCUUACUUCCAGUCUACUUGUUUCUGGGGAAAUCAGAGCUAAAAAGAAAAGCAACAUUUAUUUGUUUGUAGUAACUGAGAGACAAUUGUCAAAUGUCAACUAAUUUCAAACAAGUGCCCACAAGCAACUGUUCUCUUCCAGAUAAUGAUGGCUAAAUAACUGUCCUGAGUUUUGAAAGAGGAUACAAUGCCAGCAAUGGAUGCUGCAGUCAGCAGCAGAAAAUGUCCAAAAACAUCAAACCUGCCACUGGCAUCUGCUACUUAGCAGGGCUGGGAGGGCCAAUGGGCAGGCAAUCCACUCUUACAAUACUGAUUAGCAUCACUGCCUGACCGCUGCACCCGUGGGUCCUUUCUGGCUACCUACAUUUCCCUCCUUUGUUACUGCUGGCGAUAAGAUCCCACCGAAACACCGAAAACAGUUGGUGUUUUCAUUGCAGUAGCUGUGAUGAGUGGUCAUAACCUCUGCUAGUGAACAUGGCAUGGUCGUAGCUAUUGGAGAAGGCUGCCAGUGCUGAAGGCUGUGUCAGAAGUAUAGCUCUUGUAUUGGAGGUGCCAAAGGAUGGGUUAUUGCAGCCUUCUUCAAGAGCUUCCCAGCAAUUAUUUUUUUUAAGAUGCCUUUUAAGCAAGCAGCCAGUCUGGAAUUAGAAAUAGCCAGCAAGGAGGUGGUGUUACACAAGAAGCUCUCGCAGGAGAUGCUUGCUCCAAACCACGGCACAGGGAAUACAUGUUCUCCUCAACGUGGGUGGGAUAUGCACACAUCAGCUCCACACAACAUGAAAAUGAGCUGCAGCACUUAAUUACUUUGAUAUGUGCGAAGACCAAGAGAGUAGGCUAGUAAAGCAGAUGGUGGUAAACUUGUAUCUAGCUAUUUUAGGAUGCUGUCAAGAUUCUGCUGCUGCUGCUUUCUCUGUCUCUCCACCAGGUACAUCCUAAGAGACAGCACUUGCAGAGCUCCCCUCUUUGGCAGCUGCGAGAAGCCACAGCCUGUAACAGAGGGAACUGGCAGCCCAUCCAAGGACAAGUCAUCCUCAGGGGAAACCAAGGCCACUGCACCAUCCAUGCUGUAACAUCAGCCACCCACUUCUGAGAGCAUCCUGGACAGGGUAUGGAGCCUGCCCUCAGUUUUCUCUGAUCUCCUGAAGGAUUCCUCUAAAUCUUCAGUAUCUGUUGUGAGCAGUAAAUCAACAGCAGAGCUCCCGAUGCCUUUACUGGGGAACAGGAUCAGCAUUUUUCCCUGUAAAGAGCCAGUGUUCUCCAGCCGUGUCGACACCUGGAAUUUUUGGCUGAGGAUCCUCACCACUGUGAACAUUUUGAUCAAUUGCUGGAUUCUGCAGUGGGAUUCUUCUUUGGAUUUUACCACAGGUAUUUUCUUUGUAAUUUCUUUGGCUGCAGUUCAUUUAGAAGUACUUGUACGUACUUCUAAUGUUUGACAUUUGACCAUCAAA